GGCGGCGUCCUGGAGGGCCUGGAGGCGGCGGCUCCUCAUCCAGUAAAGCUAAACUCUUCUCCAGUGCAUCAUGAACGGGGAGGAAUGUCCGGGUUGCAAAUAGAAUGUGUGUCACAUUUCAGAAGAAAUGAGGCGACGUUGCGGAGGUCCAGGCGUUUGGCCCGGUGGAGGUCCUGGAGGAGACGGCCUGGAGGUGGAGGACGGCUGGGGGAUCCGGCGGUGGAGGUCCGAAGGCGGCUCGUGAUUAGACCAACCAGCUCCUCAUCCAUGGAAGGUUCAAUAAAGUUGACCUCUCCUUCAGGUGACUUAAAGGGAGACCAGAUGUGCGGCAGCUGGGUGUCAUGGUGCAGAGACCCAACGCUGCACUGAACUACACCAGUGUGUCCUACUCCCCAUAAACCCUGAGGAUCCCUGGCUACACCAGCACAUUAAUCCACACCCAACAUUAACACACAGUGCACACUCUAUAGAGCUUGUAAGUCCGCCCCUUGCGGCGGGACCUCGUGAGAUCGUAAGAUAUGACUGGGUUUCAAUGGAGAGAAAGUAAUUAUUUUCUCCAUUAUGUUGCACCACAUUUUGGGGGAAGAAUGUUUGAAUCAAUCUUUGUCAUUUAUUUCUGUACUCCAUAUCUGUAAUCCCAGCUGUUGUAUUUUAACACGGUAGCUGGGAAUCCUCUUUAUAGGGAGCGGCUAGAGGGACGAGCCUGGAAGCAAACCUGAGCCUGGAUCUUAACCUUCUUUCUAAACCUAAUGCCGCAAUUUAACCGCAAAUAAAGUGAGGCCUAAAGUAACUUGACUCUCUUACCUAAACUUGCUUGCCUAAACUCGCUUGUCUAAACUUGCUUGCAUAAAACCUAAACUUGCUUGCAUAAAACCUAAACUCGCUUGCAUAAAACCUAAACUCGCUUGCAUAAAACCUGAACUUGCUUAGCUAAACUCGCGUUGCUUGCCUAAUGCCUGAACUCGCUUGACCUGAACUCGCUUGCCUGAACUCGCUUGCCUGAACUUUGCUUGCCUGAACUCGCUUGCCUGAACUCGCUUGCCU
ensembl:lncRNA